GAUGAACGCUAGCGGCAGGCUUAACACAUGCAAGUCGAGGGGUAUGCCGAUUUAUCGGCAGAGACCGGCGCACGGGUGCGUAACGCGUAUGCAAUCUACCUUUCACAGAGGGAUAGCCCAGAGAAAUUUGGAUUAAUACCUCAUAGUAUAGCAGUUUCGCAUGAAACCACUAUUAAAGUUCCAACGGUGAAAGAUGAGCAUGCGUCCCAUUAGCUAGAUGGUAAGGUAACGGCUUACCAUGGCUACGAUGGGUAGGGGUCCUGAGAGGGAGAUCUCCCACACUGGUACUGAGACACGGACCAGACUCCUACGGGAGGCAGCAGUGAGGAAUAUUGGUCAAUGGACGCAAGUCUGAACCAGCCAUGCCGCGUGCAGGAUGACGGUCCUAUGGAUUGUAAACUGCUUUUGUACGUAGAAGAACAACAUUACGUGUAAUGUACUUGACGGUAUCGUAAGAAUAAGGAAUCGGCUAACUACCGUG
rnacentral:rRNA from 1 species